UAUAUAAAGAAAUCUUCGGAUGGAAAUAUAUAUUUCUUAGCGGCGGACGGGUGAGUAACGCGUGAGGAACCUGCCUUGUACUAGGGGAUAGCCUCGGGAAACCGGGAUUAAUACCCUAUGAUACUUGAGGAUCGCAUGAUUUUCAAGUCAAAGCGAUUAAGCGGUAUAAGAUGGACUCGCGUCCCAUUAGCUAGUUGGUGAGGUAAUAGCUCACCAAGGCGACGAUGGGUAGCCGGCCUGAGAGGGUGAACGGCCACACUGGAACUGAGACACGGUCCAGACUCCUACGGGAGGCAGCAGUGGGGAAUAUUGCACAAUGGAGGGAACUCUGAUGCAGCGACGCCGCGUGAGCGAUGAAGGUUUUCGGAUCGUAAAGCUCUGUCCUAAGGGACGAUAAUGACGGUACCUUAGGAGGAAGCCCCGGCUAACUACGUGCCAGCAGCCGCGGUAAUACGUAGGGGGCGAGCGUUGUCCGGAUUUAUUGGGCGUAAAGGGUGCGUAGGCGGCCUUGUAAGUCAGAUGUGAAAUCUCACGGCUUAACCGUGGUAAGCAUUUGAAACUGUGAGGCUUGAGUACAGGAGAGGAGAGUGGAAUUCCUAGUGUAGCGGUGAAAUGCGUAGAUAUUAGGAGGAAUACCAGUGGCGAAGGCGACUCUCUGGACUGUAACUGACGCUGAGGCACGAAAGCGUG
rnacentral:rRNA from 1 species